rnacentral:rRNA from 1 species
ACGGGAGGCAGCAGUGGGGAAUAUUGCGCAAUGGAGGCAACUCUGACGCAGUGACGCCGCGUAUGGGAAGAAGGUUUUCGGAUUGUAAACCAUUGUCGUUAGGGAAGAAGAAGUGACAGUACCUAAGGAGGAAGCACGGGCUAACUAUGUGCCAGCAGCCGCAGUAAUACAUAGGGUGCAAGCGUUAUCCGGAUUUAUUGGGUGUAAAGGGUGCGUAGACGGGAAUUUAAGUUGGUUGUGAAAUCCCUCGGCUCAACCGAGGAACUGCAACCAAAACUGAAUUUCUUGAGUGCUGGAGGGGAAAGUGGAAUUCCUAGUGUAGCGGUGAAAUGCGUAGAUAUUAGGAGGAACACCGGUGGCGAAGGCGACUUUCUGGACAGUAACUGACGUUGAGGCACGAAAGUGUGGAGAGCAAACAGGAUUAGAUACCCUGGUA